GAUGAACGCUAGCUACAGGCUUAACACAUGCAAGUCGAGGGGAAACGACAUCGAAAGCUUGCUUUUGAUGGGCGUCGACCGGCGCACGGGUGAGUAACGCGUAUCCAACCUGCCCAUCACUUGGGAAUAACCUUGCGAAAGUAAGACUAAUACCCAAUGACAUCCCACGAAGUCAUCUGAAUGGGAUUAAAGAUUUAUCGGUGAUGGAUGGGGAUGCGUCUGAUUAGCUUGUUGGCGGGGUAACGGCUCACCAAGGCAACGAUCAGUAGGGGUUCUGAGAGUCAGGUCCCCCGCAAUGGAAACGAGGCACAGACCACACGCGUACGGAGGAGAGCAGUAGGGAACAUAGGGGAAGGGACGAGAGCCUGAACCAGCCAAGUGGGGUACAGGAUGACGGCCCUAGGGGUUGUAAACUGCUUUUAAAAAGGAAUAAAGUGGGUCUCGGGAGACUUUUUGCAUGUACCUAAUGAAUAAGGACCGGCUAAUUACGUG
rnacentral:rRNA from 1 species